rnacentral:rRNA from 1 species
UCGAACGGGACCCGCAAGGGUUCAGUGGCGGACGGGUGAGUAAUGUAUCGCUAAUGUACCCCUGAGUCAGGGAUAGCCAGCCGAAAGGCUGGGUAAUACCUGAUAAAACAACUUGGUCGCAUGGCCGGGUUUUCAAAGGAGCAAUCCGCUCUAGGAGCAGGCGAUAUCGUAUCAGCUUGUUGGUGAGGUAACGGCUCACCAAGGCGACGACGCGUAGCUGGUCUGAGAGGACGGCCAGCCACAUCGGGACUGAGACACUGCCCGGACUCCUACGGGGGGCUGCAGUAACGAAUCUUCCGCAAUGCACGAAAGUGUGGCGGAGCGACGCCGCGUGUGGGACGAAGCCCUUCGGGGUGUAAACCACUGUCAGGGGUUACCAAGUUCUGAGGAGCCCCAGAGGAAGGCACGGCUAACUCUGUGCCAGCAGCCGCGGUAAGACAGAGGUGCCGAGCGUUA